rnacentral:rRNA from 1 species
UACGUAGGGUGCGAGCGUUGUCCGGAAUUAUUGGGCGUAAAGGGCUCGUAGGCGGUUUGUCGCGUCGGGAGUGAAAACUCAGGGCUUAACCCUGAGCCUGCUUCCGAUACGGGCAGACUAGAGGUAUGCAGGGGAGAACGGAAUUCCUGGUGUAGCGGUGAAAUGCGCAGAUAUCAGGAGGAACACCGGUGGCGAAGGCGGUUCUCUGGGCCGGUACUGACGCUGAGGAACGAAAGCGUGGGGAGCGAACAGG